ACUUUGCUUGAUUAUUCCCUUGUGGACAAUUGUAUGCAUUAAUUCAAUCAAAAUAUUUGCUAGAGUGUAGCAAAAAUAUAGAAUUUUUGUCAUGCAAGCAAGAAGUUCUAUUAUUUAGUUUUUUGCAAAUGCAUUUUAGAAUCCUUAAACUUAGACGACGUACAGAAAUGACUGCAUCCUACAGAAAUGUUAAUGACAUCACAUCGUCAGCAUUGAAGUUGCUUUCUUCAAUCGCUGUCCACCACUGUGAGGUUCCUACCUGUUGACGUUUUGAGGGUUUCUUCAGUAACCACCUAAAAACAUGAGGUGGGAUCACGGGUUAGAACCUAUAUAUAUAUAUAUAUAUAUAUAGAGAGAGAGAGAUGUGAUUUGGUUUGUGUUUUACUUACAGGACAAAGAUGAUCAGACCAAUAAAGAAGACGGUACCAAAGAAUCCACCAAUUAUCAGAUGAACUUUCGAAUCUAUAGGACAUAAAACAUGGUAGAUCACUGGGGCAUUAUCAUAUCUAUUUAGAGAUUGUAGGGAUAUGUUUGGGAUGUGUGUUAUAGUAAAGUAUUUUAUAGGGUCUAUGGGUAGAAGUUGAUAUACCGACGCUUUCACCGCUGAUAGUUAGCUUAAUCUCUUUUGAUGUUUGGUUUCCCAAGGGAUUCGUGGCCACGCAGUAGUAGAUUUCACUGUAGCAGGACACAUUGAAGCUGUACAAAGGUCCAUCCGACACGUUCAGGGGUCCCUCCGCACUGCUCCUGAACCAGGUGAACCGGAGAACGGGGGGGUUGGCUCUGCUGGUGCACAUCAGGUUGACCACACUGCCCAGCGACACCGUGGUCAACGUCAGGUUGACCACACUGCCCAGCACCAACGCCUGGGUAUCCUUCGGGGAAUCUACAGGAACACAAGAUAAGUCUUCAAUUUCAAGCUAUGGUUCCGGUGCUGACGGAUUUGAAUGCAGUAUGUAAACGCUUUGCGCUUCUCAGCCGUCCCGGCUCACUGAUUGGACCGUCUGCUGGUCACUCACAGGAAACGUUGAGCGUCACGACGCUCUCUGCUCUUCUGACACUGAGCCCGCCUGCUGGGGCGUUUACCGGAUACUCCACCAGACAGGUGAGGCGGACCCCGUCAUGUCGGUCCGACAGAGUGAUAUUUAGCCGCCGGGUCCUGACGUUAGGCUCUUGGUCUCCGUGCGGUUCCAGCCGACCCUCAGGGCCUCCUGACUGGUUCCAGCUCAGGACAGAGAUGAUCAGACCAAUAAAGAAGACGAUACCGAUUAAGAAUCUCACUAUCAGAGGGACAUUCAAUCCUGUAGGGGACAAAUCAUGGGAUUCGUGGCCACACAGUAGUAGAUGUCUCUGUAGCUGGACACAUUGAAGCUGUACAAAGAUCCAUCUGACACGUUCAGGGGUCCCUCCGCACUGCUCCUGAACCAGGUGAACCGGAGAACGGGGGGGUUGGCUCUGCUGGUGCACGUCAGGUUGACCACACUGCCCAGCGACACCGUGGGGGGACUGAUGGAGGCCUGGGUAUCCUUCGGGGAAUCUACAGGAACACAAGAUAAGUCUUCAAUUUCAAACUAGUUCCGCUGUUGACGGAUUUGAAUGCAGUAUGUAAACGCUUUCCGCUUCUCAGCCGCACCGGCUCACUCAUCGGACCGUCUGCCGGUCACUCACAGGAAACGUUGAGCGUCACGACGCUCUCUGCUGUUCUGUUGCUGGGCCCGCCUGCUGGGUCGUUCACCGGAUACUCCACCAGACAGGUGAUGCGGACCCCGUCAUGUCGGUCCGACAGAGUGAUAUUCAGCCGCCGGGUCCUGACGUUAGGCUCUUGGUCUCCGUGCGGUUCCGGCCGGCCCUCAGGGCCUCCUGACUGGUUCCAGCUCAGGUGAGGCGGCUGGGUGGGACAGGGUGCGAUGGCCCUGCAGGUGAACGUUACCCUGCUCCCCUCCGUUAGUGGUCCCUCCAGGAGGGUCUGUAUGGAGGGUGCUGGGGCUGAA